rnacentral:rRNA from 1 species
UUCAAUGGAGAGUUUGAUCCUGGCUCAGGACGAACGCUGGCGGCGUGCUUAACACAUGCAAGUCGAACGAUGA